UCCGGUUUGUCACCGGCAGUCUCCUUAAAGUGCCCAACUUAAUGCUGGCAACUAAGGACAAGGGUUGCGCUCGUUGCGGGACUUAACCCAACAUCUCACGACACGAGCUGACGACAGCCAUGCAGCACCUGUCACAGAAUUCCCGAAGGCACUUCUGCAUCUCUGCUGAAUUUUCUGGAUGUCAAGGGAUGGUAAGGUUCUUCGCGUUGCAUCGAAUUAAACCACAUGCUCCACCGCUUGUGCGGGCCCCCGUCAAUUCAUUUGAGUUUUAACCUUGCGGCCGUACUCCCCAGGCGGUCUACUUAUCGCGUUAGCUUCGUUACGCAUGGAUUAAAUCCUCACACAACUAGUAGACAUCGUUUACGGUGUGGACUAC
rnacentral:misc_RNA from 1 species